ACGAACGCUGGCGGCGUGCUUAACACAUGCAAGUCGAACGAAAAGAGGGAAAGAGCUUGCUCUUUCCGGAAUUGAGUGGCAAACGGGUGAGUAACACGUAAACAACCUGCCUUCAGGAUGGGGACAACAGACGGAAACGACUGCUAAUACCGAAUAAGUUCCAAGAGCCGCAUGGCCCAUGGAAGAAAAGGUGGCCUCUACCUGUAAGCUAUCGCCUGAAGAGGGGUUUGCGUCUGAUUAGCUGGUUGGAGGGGUAACGGCCCACCAAGGCGACGAUCAGUAGCCGGUCUGAGAGGAUGGACGGCCACACUGGAACUGAGACACGGUCCAGACUCCUACGGGAGGCAGCAGUGGGGAAUCUUCCGCAAUGGGCGAAAGCCUGACGGAGCAACGCCGCGUGAGUGAUGACGGCCUUCGGGUUGUAAAACUCUGUGAUCCGGGACGAAAAGGCAGAGUGCGAAGAACAAACUGCAUUGACGGUACCGGAAAAGCAAGCCACGGCUAACUACGUG
rnacentral:rRNA from 1 species